rnacentral:lncRNA from 1 species
GUAUUACCUAUGUUUUAUGCAUUGUACUUCUACCCUUCAACACCCUAUUGCAUGCUGAGUAGGUACUUUGAAAUAUUGGUUACUUGUUGUAGUAUCAUGUGGUAGGCAGCCAACAACCCCGUUACUUGACCCGGGACGACAAAAUUCUGUUUUUCUAUGCCUGAGUAGACAGGGUUCUGGUUGAGAGUUUAUCACGAGUGAUGCGAGAUUAAUUUAAUAACCAAGACCGGUUAAGUCAAGACUUUCAAGACCUCAUGAUGCAAUGCAACUCCGGGUGAAGGACGGUUUAGAUGGAUCCCUGGAGAAACCAGUGGACGACCCGGGAUGCAUGGGGAAGUGCCAUGACAUCUUGCGGAAAGCUUCACCCAGGCUCGAAGGGAUGGUCGGAAGCUUCAAGACCCAAGGCUUACCUGCACAGCCACAAGUCAUUAUGGGCUCUGGCUUGGUUGGACAACGCAGCGACUCUGGACAGACGGUGCUAGCAGAUGUAGAAGAACGGUAGGAUUGGAUGGGCACCGACAGGGGAUCAGAGGGACCCGUUGAAAGACCAUGUUUUGAUCAUCCGGACUUCAAACACCCUGAAGUGCGAGGACAUACCCGGAGGCGAUCAAAUCUUCUGGGGAACAUGUGCAAAACUCUAGAGAGUACCCAAAACUAAUCGAUUAUCCGUGUCCACGGUCAUGGACAACUUGAGCCGAAGGCAUUGAAAUUUUCCCGAACUCUCAACACAAUUUAAUAAUGAUGUGGGAAUUAUUGACAACUCGGGUACGAGAAUUGGUUGGCGGAAGCAUCUCGUUAACAACCAACAAUGUAGUAAUAUUUUGCUUUAACCCACUCUGGAUGUAGGAGAAAACUUGCUUUUCGCUAAAAACUUAUAGCCCCACCUACCAUAUAUGCAUGUAGAAUAUAUGAU